rnacentral:rRNA from 1 species
CAAACAGGAUUAGAUACCCUGGUAGUCCACGCCGUAAACGAUGAGUGCUAGUUGUUAGGCCCUUUCCGGGGCUUAGUGCCGCAGCUAACGCAUUAAGCACUCCGCCUGGGGAGUACGACCGCAAGGUUGAAACUCAAAGGAAUUGACGGGGGCCCGCACAAGCGGUGGAGCAUGUGGUUUAAUUCGAAGCAACGCGAAGAACCUUACCAGGUCUUGACAUCCCAGUGACCGCUCUAGAGAUAGAGUUUUUCUUAGGAACACUGGUGACAGGUGGUGCAUGGUUGUCGUCAGCUCGUGUCGUGAGAUGUUGGGUUAAGUCCCGCAACGAGCGCAACCCUUAUUGUUAGUUGCCAUCAUUCAGUUGGGCACUCUAGCGAGACUGCCGGUAAUAAACCGGAGGAAGGUGGGGAUGACGUCAAAUCAUCAUGCCCCUUAUGACCUGGGCUACACACGUGCUACAAUGGGUGGUACAGAGGGCAGCCAAGUCGUGAGGCCGAGCUAAUCCCUUAAAGCCAUUCUCAGUUCGGAUUGUAGGCUGAAACUCGCCUACAUGAAGCUGGAGUUACUAGUAAUCGCAGAUCAGAAUGCUGCGGUGAAUGCGUUC